rnacentral:rRNA from 1 species
UACGGAGGGUGCAAACGUUGCUCGGAAUCAUUGGGCGUAAAGCGCACGUAGGCGGACCGCUAAGUCGGAUGUGAAAGCCCUCGGCUUAACCGAGGAAGUGCAUUCGAAACUGACGGUCUUGAGUAUGGAAGAGGGUCGCGGAAUUCCCGGUGUAGAGGUGAAAUUCGUAGAUAUCGUGAGGAAGACCAGUGGCGAAGGCGAAUCUCUGGACAGUUCCUGACGCUCAUGCACGAAGGCCAGGGGAGCAAACGGG